rnacentral:rRNA from 1 species
UGAGCAACCUGCCCUUGACCCUGGGAUAACAGCUGGAAACAGCUGCUAAUACCGGAUACGACCUCCGAUGGCAUCAUCUGGAGGUGGAAAGCUCCGACGGUCAAGGAUGGGCUCGCGGCCUAUCAGCUUGUUGGUGAGGUAACGGCUCACCAAGGCUUCGACGGGUAGCCGGCCUGAGAGGGCGACCGGCCACACUGGGACUGAGAUACGGCCCAGACUCCUAGGAGG